AUGAACGCUGGCGGCGUGCCUAAUCCAUGCAAGUCGAGCGAACGGACGAGAAGCUUGCUUCUCUGAUGUUAGCGGCGGACGGGUGAGUAACACGUGGAUAACCUACCUAUAAGACUGGGAUAACUUCGGGAAACCGGAGCUAAUACCGGAUAAUAUUUUGAACCGCAUGGUUCAAAAGUGAAAGACGGUCUUGCUGCCACUUAUAGAUGGAUCCGCGCUGCAUUAGCUAGUUGGUAAGGUAACGGCUUACCAAGGCAACGAUGCAUAGCCGACCUGAGAGGGUGAUCGGCCACACUGGAACUGAGACACGGUCCAGACUCCUACAGGAGGCAGCAGUAGGGAAUCUUCCGCAAUGGGCGAAAGCCUGACGGAGCAACGCCGCGUGAGUGAUGAAGGUCUUCGGAUCGUAAAACUCUGUUAUUAGGGAAGAACAUAUGUGUAAGUAACUGUGCACAUCUUGACGGUACCUAAUCAGAAAGCCACGGCUAACUACGUG
rnacentral:rRNA from 1 species